AGAACAGAUAGAGGUGCAGUUGAAAAGAGUAACACGGUCUGACCCCGAAAGGUCAAAGCAGCCCAUGCCUACAGACCGAUGUGAAAGGUAAAACUGCCGAAGCCUGCGGCGCGGGAACCCGCUUGCUGACUGAUGGUUCAACAGAUCAUCGGUUGUCAUCAUGACUUUAUGAUGGAGUGCUAUCGGCGGA
rnacentral:ncRNA from 2 species